rnacentral:rRNA from 1 species
UUGCACGCUGGCGGCAUGCCUUACACAUGCAGGUCGAACGGUAACGGGCCUUCGGGUGCCGACGAGUGGCGAACGGGUGAGUAAUACAUCGGAACGUGCCCGAUCGUGGGGGAUAACGAGGCGAAAGCUUUGCUAAUACCGCAUACGAUCUACGGAUGAAAGCAGGGGACCGCAAGGCCUUGCGCGGACGGAGCGGCCGAUGGCAGAUUAGGUAGUUGGUGGGAUAAAAGCUUACCAAGCCGACGAUCUGUAGCUGGUCUGAGAGGAUGAUCAGCCACACUGGGACUGAGACACGGCCCAGACUCCUACGGGAGGCAGCAGUGGGGAAUUUUGGACAAUGGGCGCAAGCCUGAUCCAGCCAUGCCGCGUGCAGGAUGAAGGCCUUCGGGUUGUAAACUGCUUUUGUACGGAACGAAAAGCCUUCUUUUAAUACAGGAGGGUCAUGACGGUACCGUAAGAAUAAGCACCGGCUAACUACGUG